AGUGAACGCUGGCGGUAGGCCUAACACAUGCAAGUCGAACGGCAGCACAGUAAGAGCUUGCUCUUACGGGUGGCGAGUGGCGGACGGGUGAGGAAUACAUCGGAAUCUACCUCUUCGUGGGGGAUAACGUAGGGAAACUUACGCUAAUACCGCAUACGACCUACGGGUGAAAGCAGGGGAUCUUCGGACCUUGCGCGAUUGAAUGAGCCGAUGUCGGAUUAGCUAGUUGGCGGGGUAAAGGCCCACCAAGGCGACGAUCCGUAGCUGGUCUGAGAGGAUGAUCAGUCACACUGGAACUGAGACACGGUCCAGACUCCUACGGGAGGCAGCAGUGGGGAAUAUUGGACAAUGGGCGCAAGCCUGAUCCAGCCAUACCGCGUGGGUGAAGAAGGCCUUCGGGUUGUAAAGCCCUUUUGUUGGGAAAGAAAAGCAGCAGGUUAAUACCCCGCUGUUCUGACGGUACCCAAAGAAUAAGCACCGGCUAACUUCGUG
rnacentral:rRNA from 1 species